rnacentral:rRNA from 1 species
UACGUAGGGUGCAAGCGUUAAUCGGAAUUACUGGGCGUAAAGCGUGCGCAGGCGGCUUUGCAAGACAGAUGUGAAAUCCCCGGGCUCAACCUGGGAACUGCAUUUGUGACUGCAUGGCUGGAGUGCGGCAGAGGGGGAUGGAAUUCCGCGUGUAGCAGUGAAAUGCGUAGAUAUGCGGAGGAGCACCGAUGGCGAAGGCAAUCCCCUGGGCCUGCACUGACGCUCAUGCACGAAAGCGUGGGGAGCAAACAGG